rnacentral:tRNA from 1 species
AAAGGGGUAGCGAGGCAGCGAGCGCGCAGCCUUUUUCGCCGUGCUGCUUAUCCGCAGGGAGGAGCCUUCGUGCUGUUCGGGGCGGCCUUCUUUGC